rnacentral:rRNA from 1 species
UACGUAGGGCGCAAGCGUUGUCCGGAAUUAUUGGGCGUAAAGAGCUCGUAGGCGGCUUGUCACGUCGGAUGUGAAAGCCCGAGGCUUAACCUCGGGUCUGCAUUCGAUACGGGCUAGCUAGAGUGUGGUAGGGGAGAUCGGAAUUCCUGGUGUAGCGGUGAAAUGCGCAGAUAUCAGGAGGAACACCGAUGGCGAAGGCAGGUCUCUGGGCCAUUACUGACACUGAGAAGCGAAAGCAUGGGGAGCGAACAGG